UUCUCAAGGUUAGCUCCCUUAACUCACGGA
rnacentral:piRNA from 1 species